GCCUGGGUGGCUCAGUUGGUUAAGCAACUGAUUUCAGUUCAGGUCAUGAUCUUACAGUUGGUGGGUUCAAGCCCCGCACUGGGCU
rnacentral:tRNA from 1 species